UACUUGUCAUUUUCGAAUAGUGGGUGAAUUAUGCCCUUUUUCAAAUAUCAGCCGUGUACCCGUUAAUGGGUGAAAAAAGUGAUAAGCAGUUAUUUACUUCUUGAUACGUGUUAGGUCGGACCUGAUUGAAAUAAUCGCUGUACUUGAAGACAAAAAGGUCCUCCAACACUUCUCAGCAAAGGUUAGAAGAUGAAGUUUUUAAUAAAAACUCGGAGGAGUCAUCACGUCCGCCUAACAUCCCCAAACAUGAAUGAAUUUGCUCUACAUUUAAUAGUACGUUAUCUGUGUGAAUAUGUGUGUGAAUAUGAAAUAAUAAAAUAAAUAUUCAUUGUUGUGUGAACUUAU